rnacentral:ncRNA from 1 species
CAACCAUCCAGAGCGACCGAGAGACCUUGGCUCGACGACGUCGCAGCAACCAUCACGCCGUGCGCGUGGGGGUGCUCCUGCCAGGAUCGAUGGAAG